AAUUAAUGUCUGUGGAAGACCGUCACUUGUGGAUACAGAUAACAUAACUGGACUACGUUCUCCGCCAACAGAACAUGUAUUAAACAUCCCAAUGCAGUUACAAUAAGGGGUGGAUCAAGACAGUGUUGAAGCAGGGAUGUCCUAGAGGGGCAGUGUGCUUAAAUGUUAAUGAUUAUUAUUAGCUAAUGUCAUUCCCUGCUCUUGAUUCAACAGAAAUCGUAGGUUUUGCGACAUCUGUCGACAUUUGUAGCACAUUUGUAACACCGAAAAUAGAGCCCCAG